AGGACGAACGCUGGCGGCGUGCUUAACACAUGCAAGUCGAACGGGGUCCAACUCUUCGCAAGAAGAGGGAAGACCUAGUGGCGAACGGGUGCGUAACACGUGAGGAACCUGCCCCGAAGACCGGGACAACACCGGGAAACCGGUGCUAAUACCGGAUAUCCCCAUCUGAUCGCAUGGUCGGAUGAGGAAAUGGAUUCCGCUUUGGGAGGGCCUCGCGGCCUAUCAGCUUGUUGGUGAGGUAACGGCUCACCAAGGCUUCGACGGGUAGCUGGUCUGAGAGGACGACCAGCCACACUGGGACUGAGACACGGCCCAGACUCCUACGGGAGGCAGCAGUGGGAAUCUUGCGCAAUGGGCGAAAGCCUGACGCAGCAACGCCGCGUGCGGGAUGAAGGCCUUCGGGGUUGUAAACCGCUUUCAGUAGGGACGAAAUUGACGGUACCUGCAAGAAGAAGCCCCGGCAACUACGUGCCAGCAGCCGC
rnacentral:rRNA from 1 species